rfam:Schistosoma rodhaini strain Burundi genome assembly, scaffold: SROB_scaffold0004983
AUCCAGCUGACGAGUCCCAAAUAGGGCGAAACGCGCGUCUUGGAU